UUUUUCCUUUUUGUCGUCUUCUCUAUCAUUCGGAGAAAGAAACCACGACGUCUUCUCCGUCAGAGACGAUCGACGAUUCGGUCGGUCCUCACGGCGUCUCGUCCUUCUUCUCUCUUGUUCUCCGUCAGACGAUCGAUCCUCACGGCGUAUCGUCCGUCUUCGUUCGAUCGAUCGAAACCCAUCUCUCUCUCACCCUUUCUCACACCACCAUCCUCUUCUGUUCCCCUGUCCUCGCAUCAACAGCCCCCUUCACCUCAAUCUCCGACCAAUCCACCGUGAACGCGUUUCGUAAUCUCAAGUUUCUUGGUAAGAGCUCGUUCAGGUUCCGUAUAGUGGGGAAGAUGAGUCGGGGGUUUUGAAGAGAGUUAAAGGGAGCUUCUCUGAUCCGGAGAACACAGUUGUUUGUGUCCUUGACAAUUUUGAUGGUAACUCAACGAAAGUGGUUGAAUUGCUGGUUGAGAAUGGAUUCAAGGAGGCUUAACUUGAAGCUUUCCUACGCAAUGUUGUUUGUUUUGAUAAUUAUCAGAUAUUGUUGAUAGUCAUGCGUGUUUAUUUCUUCAAAGUUUGUGGUCUUACGGAUUUCACUUCCUUUUCUACCUUUUCAGUUCUGUUACAGGUAUGAUACAAAACAUAGCAUUCAUUUCGAUGAGCUACAUUUUCUUUAGUGUGCUACUGUGGUCAUGAAUCAAAUCAUCAGCUUCUCCCUAACUCAUGAUAUAAAGAAACAUUUAUAGAUUAGUAAAAGUAUCUUCAAAUGAAGCUGUUUUGAUUGUUAUUUUUACAGAGUCUAAUCUGAACGAAGCAUUAAAAGUUGUUGGUGAGAAUGUGCACGUAUCUUUUGCUGGUUUAUGGACCUGUAAGGAGCCACCUCGGUUUCCCUGUUUGGAGACUUCGAUACACUGAGAUAGUGAUCGUUGAAGUAUGUGAGAUAUGGUUCUCUUUUGAAGGGGUUUACAUUGAACCCCAAAAACAAGAAGGCAAUGGAAUGUGUCCCGUUGUUAAAACUGAAUUUCCAGGCGUUGGAGCUUUCUUUGUUUGUAGUUCAAAAAAAAGGAGCUUAAUUUCUUUGUUAAAGUUAUUUCUCCGUUGUGAACAUCUCAUAUAAUAGUUAAAAAUAAAAUAGUUAAAAAUGACACUAUAUCAUUGUCAGUUAUCUAUUGUCUUCAUUGGUCCAAUGAGAUUCCAUGCUACCAUUUGCUUAAAGAAUCUUCAAACCCAAAUCCUGAAAAAUACCAAAAAGAAUGAGAAAAAGCAAUCAUGUAACGAGAACGCGUAGUAAAAUACCAAAAAGAAUGAGGAAAAAACAAUCAUGUAACGAGAACGCGUAGUGGUCCAGUGCAGGAACACAUCACGUGAACUCACAGCUUAGCUAGCCUUCAUAUGUGUCCACACGCGUUCCUCUUUUUCUUUUGUUUCCUUUUCACUCGAUAAGUUUAGCCUUCAUAUGUGCUGGUUGAUAAAAUUCAUGCAUUUAUCUUUUCCUUGCAUGAGUGGACAUGCUAUACGAUUCUUAUUCCUACCAUCUAGAUUAUAUAUGACAUUAUCGACAUACUAUUUUCUUACUUAAAUAGUAUAAUGUCGUUAAAUGACAUAUUCCUAUAUGUGUAAAAAUUGUUGAGACAGAAAAAGGUGGUACAAGUAAGAACCAUUUAAUAGCUUCAUAUUAUUUUUAGCCGUUCACUUAUUUUUUUCAGUUUGUCAUCGAAAAUUGAGUUUCCAAAAUAAUUCAAACAUUCUAAAGGUUAUAUCAUUGUAAAUAUGGUUUUUGUUGAAUAAAUUUACAGUACAUGCAGCAAACAAAAAAGAAUAUUAGUUUCUCUUUUUUAGUUUGUUUAACAUAUUUCUUGUUUAACCGAUCUAAUAAACUAUCGAAAAACCAAUCUAAUAAACAAACUGGAACAAUGUUUCUUUUUUUUUAGAAGAAAUGUAAUAUAGAUAGAAGAUGAUGAAAACAACUAUUUAGAAUGAAUCUUAAUUAGUACACAAA